GGGAGCGUAGCGCAAUUUGGUAGCGCGCGGAGAAACGGGGUUAGAAAUAAUCCCAAACAGCAAGUUUUUUGUAUCAAAAGCCAGAGGUUGCGGGUUCGAGUCCCGCCGCUCCCA
rnacentral:tRNA from 1 species